rnacentral:tRNA from 1 species
AGCUCAGCUGGGAGAGCGCUUGAAUGGCAUUCAAGAGGUCAUGGGUUCGAAUCCCACUAUCUCCA